rnacentral:rRNA from 1 species
GUAACGCUACGGCAGGCUAAUACUGCAGUCUCAACGGUGCCUUCGGGCAUAGUGGCGCACGGUGUGCGUAACACGUAUGCAACCUACCUUACAUUGGGGGAUAGCCUUUCGAAAGGGAGAUUAAUACCGCAUAAUACAAUGAGUUGGCAUCAGCUUAUUGUUAAAGAUUUAUCGAUGUAAGAUGGGCAUGCGUCCAAUUAGUUAGUUGGCGAGGUAACGGCUCACCAAGACGAUGAUUGGUAGGGGAACUGAGAGGUCAAUCCCCCACACUGGCACUGAGAUACGGGCCAGACUCCUACGGGAGGCAGCAGUAGGGAAUAUUGGGCAAUGGACGCAAGUCUGACCCCGCCAUGCCGCGUGCAGGAAGACGGCCCUCUGGGUUGUAAACUGCUUUUAUAUAGGAAGAAAGAAUCCUUGCGAGGAUAGUUGACGGUACUAUAAGAAUAAGCACCGGCUAACUCCGUGCCAGCAGCCGCGGUAAUACGGAGGGUGCAAGCGUUGUCCGGAUUUAUUGGGUUUAAAGGGUGCGCAGGUGGUUUAUUAAGUCAGUGGUGAAAGACGGUCGCUUAACGAUUGCAGUGCCAUUGAUACUGGUAGACUUGAGUGAACUUAGGAGGUAGGCGGAAAUUGAUAGUUGUAAGCGGUGAAAAUGCAUACGGAUAUUAUCAAGAACUCCAAUUGCGAACGGCGCUUACUUCAUUAAUUUUUCAGCUGACCCUUCCUUGCACGAAAGUUGUGGGUAUCCAACCACGGCUUUGCAUUUCCCCGGUAGUCCCCCCUGU